AAUCAACGCUGGCGGCGCGCUUAACACAUGCAAGUCGCACGAGAAAGGGAGCAAUCCUGAGUAAAGUGGCGUACGGGUGAGUAACACGUGGAUCAUCUACCUUUUAGUGGGGAAUACCCCGCCGGAGACUGGGGACAAUACCGCAUAAGCUCGAAAGAGGAAAGCAGCAAUGCGCUGAAAGAGGAGUCCGCGGCUGAUUAGCUGGAUGGUAGGGUAACGGCCUACCAUGGCGAAGAUCGGUAGCCGGCCUGAGAGGGCACACGGCCACACUGGCACUGAAACACGGGCCAGACUCCUACGGGAGGCAGCAGUGGGAAUCUUGCACAAUGGAGGAAACUCUGAUGCAGCGACGCCGCGUGAGCGAUGAAGCCCCUCGGGUGUAAGGCUCUUCGACGGGUAACGAUAAGUGACGGUAACCCGAAGAAGCGAAAGCUGCGGCUAACUACGUGCCAGCAGC
rnacentral:rRNA from 1 species